rnacentral:lncRNA from 1 species
AUCAAUGAACUGAGCCAUGUUCAAAUCCCUGUUAUGUUGAUGCCAGAUGACUUCAAAGCCUAUUCAAAAAUAAAGGUGGACAAUCACCUUUUUAACAAAGAAAACAUGCCGAGCCAUUUCAAGUUUAAGGAAUACUGCCCGAUGGUCUUCCGUAACCUGCGGGAGAGGUUUGGAAUUGAUGAUCAAGAUUUCCAGGUGAGUUGCGUUUGUAACAUUUGCUUCCAGUAGGAAAUGGGUUUUGCCAUGACUUUUGCUGUGUCAAUUGGGAUCUGUAUUUUUGUCAAUAAAAGUAUUAUAUAAUAGU